rnacentral:misc_RNA from 1 species
UCCGGCUUAUCACCGGCAGAUUCCUUAGAGUGCCCAACUGAAUGAUGGCAACUAAGGACGAGGGUUGCGCUCGUUGCGGGACUUAACCCAACAUCUCACGACACGAGCUGACGACAGCCAUGCAGCACCUGUCACCGCGUCCCCGAAGGGAACCCAGCAUCUCUGCUGGUAGCGCGGGAUGUCAAAGGCUGGUAAGGUUCUGCGCGUUGCUUCGAAUUAAACCACACGCUCCACCGCUUGUGCGGGCCCCCGUCAAUUCCUUUGAGUUUCAUUCUUGCGAACGUACUCCCCAGGUGGGUUACUUAUCACUUUCGCUUAGCCACUCAGUCUUACGACCAAACAGCUAGUAACCAUCGUUUACGGCGUAGACUAC